GUGUCAGCAGCCGCGGUAAUACGAAGGGGGCUAGCGUUGUUCGGAUUUACUGGGCGUAAAGCGCACGUAGGCGGAUUGUUAAGUCGGGGGUGAAAUCCUGGAGCUCAACUCCAGAAUUGCCUUCGAUACUGGCUUUCUAGAGGCUGGAAGAGGUUAGUGGAAUUCCCAGUGUAGAGGUGAAAUUCGUAGAUAUUGGGAAGAACACCAGUGGCGAAGGCGGCUAACUGGUCCAGAUCUGACGCUGAGGUGCGAAAGCGUGGGGAGCAAACAGGAUUAGAAACCCCCGUAGUCC
rnacentral:rRNA from 1 species